GAUGAACGCUGGCGGCGUGCCUAAUACAUGCAAGUCGAGCGAACAGACGAGGAGCUUGCUCCUCUGACGUUAGCGGCGGACAGGUGAGUAACACGUGGAUAACCUACCUAUGAGACUGGGAUAACUUCGGGAAACCGGAGCUAAUACCGGAUAAUAUAUUGAACCGCAUGGUUCAAUAGUGAAAGACGGUUUUGCUGUCACUUAUAGAUGGAUCCGCGCCGCAUUAGCUAGUUGGUAAGGUAACGGCUUACCAAGGCGACGAUGCGUAGCCGACCUGAGAGGGUGAUCGGCCACACUGGAACUGAGACACGGUCCAGACUCCUACGGGAGGCAGCAGUAGGGAAUCUUCCGCAAUGGGCGAAAGCCUGACGGAGCAACGCCGCGUGAGUGAUGAAGGUCUUCGGAUCGUAAAACUCUGUUAUUAGGGAAGAACAAAUGUGUAAGUAACUAUGCACGUCUUGACGGUACCUAAUCAGAAAGCCACGGCUAACUACGUG
rnacentral:rRNA from 1 species